rnacentral:rRNA from 1 species
UACGUAGGUGGCGAGCGUUGUCCGGAUUUACUGGGUGUAAAGGGUGCGUAGGCGGGCAGACAAGUCAGGUGUGUAAUCCCACGGCUCAACCGUGGGCUUGCACUUGAAACUGUAGGCCUUGAGUGCAGGAGAGGUAAGCGGAAUUCCUAGUGUAGCGGUGAAAUGCGUAGAUAUUAGGAGGAACACCAGUGGCGAAGGCGGCUUACUGGACUGUAACUGACGCUGAGGCACGAAAGCGUGGGGAUCAAACAGG